rnacentral:ncRNA from 1 species
AUUUUAGUGCGGGGGGACACGAAAGUGUUGAGAAGGUUAAAACCUGACCCUUAGAACCUGACAGUUAAUACUGACGUAGGGAGCAGAUGAAGGUAUGAA